UUUAAAAUUUUUGAAUUUUUCCUGAAUUUGAAAAAAAAACAAAAAAAAAACAUUUUUUUCGGAUUAAAACGAAGUGGGCGUCACGGACGAACCGGAGCUCGCCACGUCGCUAAUGCGCGUGGCUAGACGUCUCACGAGCUGUCCCUCCGAGACGGGAUGGACACGAAAGGCUGCAACGCCGUCUCUUAUCCGUCUCGUCUCUCCGGGACGAGAUAAGAGACGGUUAAGGGAUGCGUUGCGGAUGACCUUAUGUUGCUAUAAGUAUUCUACUUUCAAUUAGUGGAAAUUCAGAAUGAUCAAGACUAUUGGAUUUUGAUAGAGGAAUAUGUAUAAGUGCACUUGAGAAAGACACACAAAAUUAUUGCAUUGGAUCAAAAGACCUAGUAAUAUCUUGAACAAAUAAAUAUGCUCCUAAGUAAGAAUUAAGGAUAUAAAUAACAAGUUCGUAUUUUUUGUUUUUUUGUAAUCUAGCAUCUCGCCGGUUAGGAUAGUAUAGGUCUCUUUUUCAGUUUUGCGUCUAGUUAAAACUCAACCCAAACGUGGUAGCAAACCAAGCUUCCAGAAUAUCAUCGCAAUCAUAUUACGCAUACAUCCAUCUCUGUGGGAUUCGACAGUUUACUCCAUUAUACUAGCCAGUAGAAGUGGGUUGAGGUUUUGAGAACAUGUUUUAGGUUUUCGUGCCAACGACUCGACUAGAUCUGGGUUUCCUCUUAGCUAGUUGAACACACGACCAUGCACAAACCUGCUCUUUCAUGGCCCAUCAUAACUCUGUAUAAAGGAGACUAAAUAAAAGACUAAUUUAAUGGAUUUUAAUCACAAAAUUUCAUCGUCUAGAAGUGAACGAUUUUUUAGCUCUCUCCAAAACUGAAAUUAUGUCUUCUUUUCUAGUCAAGUCCUUUUUAUUUUGACAAGCUUUGCCCAUCCAAAGGUCAUUAUAUGAGUUCGGGAUAUAGAUUAGAUGGUUCGUGGUUGAGUAUGAAGAAUAUCACGUGGAGAAGGCAUAAACAAUCGAUGAUUCUUUAGAGAAUCAGAUCGGUAAAUCUAAACCAUAGGAAUCAUGAAUUAGGGUUUUGAUUCCUUAUUUGUGAAUUAUAUGUCUAGCAUGCAAUUGAUUGUUUAACAUGUGAGUAAUUGAUCUCAUAAUAGUCAAAUAAAUCUGUAUGCAUGAUUUAUUUGUUUAUGCAUAACUUCCGUUGUGAAGGGGCACCAAACUCCAGCAGAAUCUUCCACCAAGUUGCUACACACUCAGAAUAUUUCAACCCACUUAAACCUCUUCUUUUUCAAACAAACAAGGAGAAGGAGCCGUGCAGAUACUUCCACCAAGUUGCUACACACUCAGAAUAUUUCAACCCACUUAAACCUCUUCUUUUUCAAACAAACAAGGAGAAGGAGCCGUGCAGAUAGUAAAAGGAUUCUUUUUCCAAUUCAUCAAGUUUUGCCAUUUUUUCUCUCGGUCCAGCUUAAGGAAUUGAAAUCCAAGUGAGUUAAUAUUGCUUUGCGGAGUUUAGAAGCAUACGAGCAAGAGGAGAGUCCCUACAUGGAGUAGUGUGCACGUGGACUGUGUGUCAUCGAAAGGGUUGGUCGGUCCGUUGACAGUGGAAAGUGGCCACUUUUCCAUCAAAAGAUGUUUCAGAUACGGCGAAUUACUCAAAGAACUUAGAUUGCGCAAUCAAACCUUUAAGUUUGAGAAUUGGGUUGGGUUGUGAUAGAGUGGAAGGUGCUGAUCCAAAUGGGGCUUACUCUUAUGUUUAUACAGUAUUCUCGGAGGUUCAUGUCUUCGUACAUAGUACCACGUUCAACUGUUUCCGCUGUACUAUUUAAGCAAGUCAAAUCCUG